CAGAGAAACUCAUUCCAUUGUCAUUCUGUCUUCCUCUCAGGUGCGUGAUUCCGGGGUGGGCUAAGUGAAUAAGAGAGAAAGGUCAUUCUCUUUCUCAUCGGAUUGGUUUCAGGCAGACGAAUAAUACGAUUAAGGAAAAGAUUAGAACACCAAAUUGUCUGGCAAUGGUAAGUGCGAGAUGUUUCAGUAGUUGAUUGGACUGGUUUGAGAUUUGGUGAGAAUAUACCUGUGCUGCAUAUGUGACAUUCAGAGAUGCUUAUGCUCUUGAAACUGCUGUUUUGUCAGUAUAUGAAAAAGUUCGACACUUGGAUACUCAUAUUGGUCAACCUCAGUUUAGUCCUCCUACGUUUCUAUCUAUUCCUGUGCUGCAUGAAGUGACUCCAGUUGGAUAUCUUAUUGCACCGCCAAAAGGAAACCAAUUGGACCUCAGAGUGAUUGGAAGCUGAAUAAUAAUAUCCAUGUAUCCAAGAAGGAGCACAAAAGCAAAAAAAUUCAUCCAGGAAUCUCUGAUAUAGUUGAAUUGCUGGAUGCUUACAGAGGUUAAAAAGCUCAGAGAAGCAGGAAACAUCAUUUGAUUACUGUUGGGCAGAUGAUGGUGUUGUGAUCAUUUGCUU